rnacentral:rRNA from 1 species
UACGUAGGGGGCAAGCGUUGUCCGGAAUUAUUGGGCGUAAAGAGCGUGUAGGCGGUCCGGUAAGUCAGCUGUGAAAGUCAAGGGCUCAACCCUUGAAAGCCGGUUGAUACUGUCGGGCUAGAGUCCGGAAGAGGCGAGUGGAAUUCCCGGUGUAGCGGUGAAAUGCGCAGAUAUCGGGAGGAACACCAAUGGCGAAGGCGGCUCGCUGGGACGGUACUGACGCUGAGACGCGAAAGCGUGGGGAGCAAACAGG